GUGGGGAAUCUUGCGCAAUGGGCGAAAGCCUGACGCAGCCAUGCCGCGUGAAUGAUGAAGGUCUUAGGAUUGUAAAAUUCUUUCACCGGGGACGAUAAUGACGGUACCCGGAGAAGAAGCCCCGGCUAACUUCGUGCCAGCAGCCGCGGUAAUACGAAGGGGGCUAGCGUUGCUCGGAAUUACUGGGCGUAAAGGGCGCGUAGGCGGACAGUUUAGUCAGAGGUGAAAGCCCAGGGCUCAACCUUGGAAUUGCCUUUGAUACUGGCUGUCUUGAGUAUGAGAGAGGUGUGUGGAACUCCGAGUGUAGAGGUGAAAUUCGUAGAUAUUCGGAAGAACACCAGUGGCGAAGGCGACACACUGGCUCAUUACUGACGCUGAGGCGCGAAAGCGUGGGGAGCAAACAGGAUUAGAAACCCCAGUAGUCC
rnacentral:rRNA from 1 species